rnacentral:misc_RNA from 1 species
AUGAUGAUGAUGAUGAUGAUGCUGAAACUAGGCAAUUUGGAUUUGUGGGACUUGAGGUAACUAAGGGCUUGUUCACUUCCGAAAGACUGAAGUAGUUUUUUGUAAAAAUUUUAUAAGAAAAUUAAAAAAACAGAGUUAUGUAUUCAUAUGUGCCAGUUUUCUAAAUGAAGAAAUUUAACUAAAAUUUGAAAAAUAGCCUUAAGUUGUUUUUCAUUGUUUUCCUUUAUAACAAAAG